GAGUUUGAUCAUGGCUCAGAUUGAACGCUGGCGGCAUGCCUUACACAUGCAAGUCGAACGGCAGCACGGGAGCUUGCCCCUGGUGGCGAGUGGCGAACGGGUGAGUAAUGCAUCGGAACGUAUCCUGGAGUGGGGGAUAACGUAGCGAAAGUUACGCUAAUACCGCAUAUUCUGUGAGCAGGAAAGCGGGGGACCUUCGGGCCUCGCGCUCUUGGAGCGGCCGAUGUCGGAUUAGCUAGUUGGUGAGGUAAAGGCUCACCAAGGCGACGAUCCGUAGCAGGUCUGAGAGGAUGAUCUGCCACACUGGAACUGAGACACGGUCCAGACUCCUACGGGAGGCAGCAGUGGGGAAUUUUGGACAAUGGGGGCAACCCUGAUCCAGCCAUGCCGCGUGAGUGAAGAAGGCCUCGG
rnacentral:rRNA from 1 species